UACAGAGGGUGCAAGCGUUGUUCGGAAUUAUUGGGCGUAAAGCGCGUGUAGGCGGCUUUGCAAGUCGGGUGUGAAAUCCCUCAGCUCAACUGAGGAAGUGCGCCCGAAACUGCUUAGCUUGAGUGCCGGAGAGGAUGGCGGAAUUCCCCAAGUAGAGGUGAAAUUCGUAGAUAUGGGGAGGAACACCGGUGGCGAAGGCAGUUAACUAUUCUAUUCCUGACAUUGAGGCAUGAAAGCGUGGGGAGCAAAACGG
rnacentral:rRNA from 1 species